rnacentral:rRNA from 1 species
AUGACGAAUCAUCAGAUAAUCAACUCGGAGAAGCAGAUCUUGGGAGGAGGGAUGUCCAACCCCAAGCGGCGGCAGGGGCCGGUGAACCACCACGACCGCGCCGGCAAAAGAUCGCGGCCUGUGCACAAGCAGCAGAAGCACCUCUAUCUUGUUCUAGACGACUGGACCAGAGGCUUCACCAUCCGCAAGAUCGACGUCGACGCCAUGGACAGCGGCCCCGACCUGGACCUGGACCUGGAGCCCCCGGUCGUCCGGCUAGUGUCACCCGCACCUGUUUAUCCCGUGAACUUCACUGCCCUGGGCAGCAACAUCUUCAUCGCAAGCAACAGGCACCCCGGCACCAUGGUGUACGACACGGAGACGGACGGGCUGGCCAUCGGCCCUCUCCUCCCGGACACCCUGCUCGGCGGCACCCGCGUCUUCGCGGCCACCGCCGACACGCAGCAGCUGUACGCGCUGAAGUACAGGAUCUGUGACAGGCAGCAGGCCUUCGAGGUGAUGUCCACGGCCUGUGUCGAGGAUUGGUAUCCCAACUCUUUCCCAAACCCAAGCCAGGACUGGUCCUGGGCAACCGUUCCGUCACCACCGCCAUUCCCCAAGGAUUGCGUGGUCACCGCCUACGCCAUGCACCCGGACGGACGCACUCUCUUCGUGUCUUGUGCAAACAGCCGCAAGACGGGCCGCCACACCUACUCCUUCGACACCAGGAGCCAUGAGUGGACGUCUCAUGGCGACUGGGUGUUGCCUUUCCAAAAUCAGGGUUACUUCGACGGCGAGCUGGACGCAUGGGUCGGCCUUCGUAAGGACGGCUACGUCUGCUCCUGCCGGGUCCCUUCCCGCACCAGAACGCUCGCCGUGCAGCCGGACUGGAAGAUGGCCAAGGACGAGCUUUUCCUCGAGCACCCGGGGAGCCUGGGUGCCACCCUCGCGUACAUGGGGAACGCCAGGUUUUGCCUUGUGGAGACGGAAGAACUGGAGUUUGAUGGCUUCAUGCUCUAUAUCACCAUUUUUGGACUCAAGUACAGCCAUGAGGGAGAGCUGCACUGCAACCCACCACCCGUCGCACCACCAAGUCAUGUCGAGUGGCUAGGAAUCUCCUGCAUUUUUCUCCCGUGGCGUUCUGGUUAUAGCUAUUUGCUGUUUGGCUUGGUUGCCAUGCAAUGCAUAUUUGUCAUUCUCAUGGAUCUGAAUUAG